rnacentral:ncRNA from 1 species
AACCUGGGUAGAGGCGCUAUCAUUAAGAGUAUCUAUUUUUAGCCGGCAGGCAGUGAGAAAUAGAAAAAGGAAUGAUGGCCGAAGGAGUUUUUCUGGCAAGAAAGCUUCCUGGUUGUGUAUAAAAUAUGUAUACAAUUGUCACAUAAGUUUUCAUGUGGAGAGCUACAAGGUAC